AUUGAACGCUGGCGGCAUGCCUUACACAUGCAAGUCGAACGGCAGCACGGGAGCAAUCCUGGUGGCGAGUGGCGAACGGGUGAGUAAUAUAUCGGAACGUGCCCAGUCGUGGGGAUAACGUAGCGAAAGCUACGCUAAUACCGCAUACGAUCUAUGGAUGAAAGCGGGGGGAUCGCAAGACCUCGCGCGAUUGGAGCGGCCGAUAUCAGAUUAGGUAGUUGGUGAGGUAAAGGCUCACCAAGCCGACGAUCUGUAGCUGGUCUGAGAGGACGACCAGCCACACUGGGACUGAGACACGGUCCAGACUCCUACGGGAGGCAGCAGUGGGGAAUUUUUGGGACAAUGGGCGCAAGCCUGAUCCAGCAAUGCCGCGUGCAGGAUGAAGGCCU
rnacentral:rRNA from 1 species